rnacentral:rRNA from 1 species
UACGUAGGGUGCAAGCGUUGUCCGGAAUCAUUGGGCGUAAAGCGCGCGUAGGCGCCCGAUAAGUCCGCUGUAAAAGUCAACGGCUCAACUGUUGAAAGCCGGUGGAUACUGUCGGGCUAGAGUACGGAAGAGGCAAGUGGAAUUCCUGGUGUAGCGGUGGAAUGCGCAGAUAUCAGGAGGAACACCUAUAGCGAAGGCAGCUUGCUGGGACGUUUACUGACGCUAAGGCGCGAAAGCGUGGGGAGCGAACAGG